UGCAAUUCUAUGGGGAAAGGAAGAUGAGAAAAAGAAGAGGCUAAUGGAGCCAGUGAUUUGUGAUAAAGAAAUAGAGAUAAAAGCAGAAAAGCAAUAGGACUGUAUUUUAAUGAAAAUGGUUGUUUAGACUCUAUUUAUAUAGUUGAUUCAAGGCAUAACAUGUAUAAUGAGAACCAUAUCAUAGGCUCAAAUAUUAUUUAUAUUAUGAAUACACGAUAAACCGUAUCGAAAAG
rnacentral:misc_RNA from 1 species